GAUGAACGCUGGCGGCGUGCUUAACACAUGCAAGUCGAACGGGAAUUAUUUUAUUGAAACUUCGGUCGAUUUAAUUUAAUUCUAGUGGCGGACGGGUGAGUAACGCGUGGGUAACCUGCCUUAUACAGGGGGAUAACAGUCAGAAAUGGCUGCUAAUACCGCAUAAGCGCACAGAGCUGCAUGGCUCAGUGUGAAAAACUCCGGUGGUAUAAGAUGGACCCGCGUUGGAUUAGCUGGUUGGUGGGGUAACGGCCCACCAAGGCGACGAUCCAUAGCCGGCCUGAGAGGGUGAACGGCCACAUUGGGACUGAGACACGGCCCAGACUCCUACGGGAGGCAGCAGUGGGGAAUAUUGCACAAUGGGGGAAACACUGAUGCAGCGACGCCGCGUGAAGGAAGAAGUAUCUCGGUAUGUAAACUUCUAUCAGCAGGGAAGAUAGUGACGGUACCUGACUAAGAAGCCCCGGCUAACUACGUG
rnacentral:rRNA from 1 species